UAAAAGCAACUCAAUGGCCGCGGUAACUCUGACCGUGAUAAAGUAGCAUAAUCACUCGUCACUUGAUUGGUGACUGGAAUGAAUGGCUAAACGAAUCCCCUUCUGUCUCUAAGAAAAUUCCGGCAAACUUAAAAUAGCAGUGAAGAUGCUGUUAAACAACUGUAAGACGAAAAGACCCUAUCGAGCUUUACUGGAAGCUUGCAAAUCUGAAAGAACACCAACCUGCAUAUUCUUAAACACUGCAAGCUUGACAGUUUGGUUGGGGCGACCACCCCUAAGAAAGUAUCAGGGGAACUCUAAAGGUAAUUACCAAAUGAAAAAAUGCCUAACUGAAAACAAACAGGUUAACCAGUUACUAUAAGUAGGACAUAUUGACCCGUUGCAUCUAUCACGAAAUGCAACGACUAUGAAAAAAGUUACCGUAGGGAUAACAGGGUAAUAUUUUCGGAGAGUUCAUAUCGAUGAAAAUGUUUGCCACCUCGAUGUUGAAUUGUGAUAUCCUAGGGGUGCAGCAGCUCCUAAGGGUCGGUCUGUUC
rnacentral:rRNA from 1 species